GGGAUAUUGGGCAAUGGAGGGAACUCUGACCCAGCGACGCCGCGUGCGGGAUGAAGGCCUUCGGGUUGUAAACCGCUUUCAGCAAGGAAGAAGCGAAAGUGACGGUACUUGCAGAAGAAGCACCGGCUAACUAUGUGCCAGCAGCCGCGGUAAUACAUAGGGUGCAAGCGUUGUCCGGAAUUAUUGGGCGUAAAGAGCUCGUAGGUGGUUCGUCACGUCGGAUGUGAAAAUCUGGGGCUUAACCCCAGACCUGCAUUCGAUACGGGCGAGCUAGAGUGUGGUAGGGGAGACUGGAAUUCCUGGUGUAGCGGUGGAAUGCGCAGAUAUCAGGAGGAACACCAAUGGCGAAGGCAGGUCUCUGGGCCAUUACUGACACUGAGGAGCGAAAGCGUGGGGAGCGAACAGGAUUAGAUACCCUGGUAGUCCACGCCGUAAACGGUGGGCACUAGUUGUGGGAACCUUCCACGGUUUCUGCGACGCAGCUAACGCAUUAAGUGCCCCGCCUGGGGAGUACGAUCGCAAGAUUAAAACUCAAAUGAAUUGACGG
rnacentral:rRNA from 1 species